rnacentral:rRNA from 1 species
UACGUAGGCAGCGAGCGUUGUUCGGAGUUACUGGGCGUAAAGGGUGUGUAGGCGGUUGUUUUAAGUUUGGUGUGAAAUCUCCCGGCUCAACUGGGAGGGUGCGCCGAAUACUGAAUGACUUGGAGUGCGGGAGAGGAGAGUGGAAUUCCUGGUGUAGCGGUGAAAUGCGUAGAUAUCAGGAGGAACACCGGUGGUGUAGACGGCUCUCUGGACCGUAACUGACGCUGAGACACGAAAAGCGUGGGUAGCAAACAGG